UACGUAGGAGGCAAGCGUUGUCCGGAAUCACUGGGCGUAAAGAGCGUGUAGGCGGUCUGCCAAGUCUGUUGUGAAAGCGCCUGGCUUAACUGGGCGAGGUCGACGGAAACUAGCAAGCUUGAGUACGGUAGGGGCAAAGGGAAUUCCCGGUGUAGCGGUGAAAUGCGUAGAUAUCGGGAAGAACACCAAAGGCGAAAGCACUUUGCUGGGCCGAAACUGACACUGAUAGACGAAAGCUAGGGGAGCAAAUGGG
rnacentral:rRNA from 1 species